rnacentral:rRNA from 1 species
UACAGAGGGUGCGAGCGUUAAUCGGAAUUACUGGGCGUAAAGCGUGCGUAGACGGUCAAGUAAGUCGGGUGUGAAAGCCCCGGGCUCAACCUGGGAAUUGCAUUCGAGACUGCUCUGCUAGGGUGCGGAAGAGGGAAGCGGAAUUUCCGGUGUAGCGGUGAAAUGCGUAGAUAUCGGAAGGAACACCAGUGGCGAAAGCGGACUUCCUGGUCCAGCAC